GCCUUUGUGGAUCAAUUGGCAUAUUAUCCUAGCGUAAAAUGAGAAGAGUCGUGGUUCGUGGGAAGACGGAGGUUCGAAUCCCCCUUAAGGCA